GUUGGGACACAGAAGUUUGCCUGAGGACCAGCCCCAAGGGCUACAUGCGGUCUCUGAGGUUGGACAGAAGAGCACACCGGGAGACACCAGAAAAGGGGACUUUCAAUCUCAGAGCCGUCCUCUGAGGGCCAAACACAUGCUGAAUGUAGGACAAACCCGAGGAUUUUAUCAGAAUGAGGUCCCGCCUGCUGACCUGGAGCUUCAAGACAGGCAAUGUCGCCAAACUGCUCCAGUUAGACAGUAACAUAGCCACUGGCUGUGACUUCAGCCCUGUUGACUUCUGGAUUUUCCCAAGCGGCCAUGUUCCUCAAGUCCAGUGUAGAGGACUACAGGUGGGAGAAAGGCAGUCAGCAGCGGUCCACAGACGGGAACCCAGGGCGCCUGGCAAGAAGAAGCCAGCCCCUGCAGACUAGCUGAGAGACAGGUAUGGCAUGCGUGUAAACAACAGCUGACAGCCAAACUGACGCAAUUUCCUGCCCUGGAUUCUAAUAGAAUGAGCAUUUGACCAGCUUUCUGAAAUCCCUGCCCUGCACUUCAGAAAAACACGCUGGACUUCCGUUAUUAGCUAAAACCACAGCUCCUUGGCUGGACUGAAGUUGUACUUCUCCAUUCUCUCUGCGGGGGUUGGACCAACGAUUGCCCAAGUGUCCUCUACCACCAAUGGUUUAAGAUUUUAUCAUCCGCUUUUAGGCCUGUCUACCCCACCAUAAUGCAGCACCAGAUAGGUUUACUCCUUAGUUGUCCUUGAACCACUGACCUUUCUCUGCCCUGUAGACUGCCAGAGCUGGAGGCCUCAGACCCGGGGGUACGUGGGAGCCGGCCCGUGCUGGCUUGCGCUUGUUUAGAGAGUUGAUUGUAAAACUUUCAAGAAUUUCACAAGCUGGUUCUUAAACACAGUCAUAAUUCAAAAUCAACUAUGUAAA